CUCCCAUUUCAAUAGAUAGCGGCAAUGUGGAGUUUCCCACUCGCUAAUAAACGCUAAAAAAACAAUAACUUUCAGCAUUUGAAUAGUUUGAAAAUGUAUUUGGAAUAGGUUUAACUUAAUGUUUAAGUUCCCUGUUUAAGAAAUAGAAAACAUACGAGUCUUCUCAUUUCAUGGGAAUAUCCUGAGUCUGCAAUCACAGCUUCAAUUUUUGAACUGUAGAAAAAUUAGAUGCACUAUCCAGUGUAUAUAAGAUAUCUAUGAAGUCGACUGGUUUAAUAGUCUAUUCAUGCAUUGGUUCCUUUUAUAGUCGCACUAGGUAUUUAACCCCACUGGAAAUAGUACAAGCAACAUUCAACUCAAAUCAACGAAAGGCUAUCUGCUAUAAUUUUCAAAAUUUCUAUUAAAUUAUAUUUUACUAUAUUAUAUCAAUCAUCAGUAUUAAAGCUAUAUUUCAUAUGUUAAAAUCCAUUCAGCAAUAGCUAGAUUUACAGUGUCUAAAACUAAUAAUGUAUGUCAAUGAAAACGGCCUAUAAAUCAUCAUUAAUUAAGGGACCGGUCAUUAUUUAUGGUGGGGGGUGGCACCGAAGAGAAAUGUUUUUCGUGCCAAAAAUUUUGCUGACCCAACCAUUAAAAAAUAAAAAAUUUGAUUACCCAACCUCAAGUAUCAUUUAAAAAAUAAAUACACACUCCUGGCCAAAAACGUUACAAAAGGAUACCAUUCAGUUGUCACACAUGUCCUAGUUACCACUUCUGUGAUACGAGUUUGAUAACGUUCGGCUAGUGAAAUUUACUGACUUUUCUGCAGUCCAAAGUUUCAUGUUGUCUGUACAUUUACUUUGUUUGGAGACACCAUUUGUCUCCCAACAAAACGGAAAAUGAUAAAGAUAGUGACUCUGAUUGAUUCACAUAUUGUAUUGAAAUAUGACUGUUGACAUUGAAGUUCUCAGUCUUCAAUAUUUGAGUGAGUCAUGCUUUGGAAAUGACAAUAAAUUUUUAUUACCCAACCUUUCAGUUGUUUCGUUUUUCAUUUACCCAACCUUUUACUCACUCAAAAUUUUGUUUACCCAACCCUUUUCUCUUCGGUGCCACCCCCCGCCAUAAAUAAUGACCGGUCCCUUAUGACGUCAUACUGUGUAUCUAAGACUGAAUGUUGACAAUGGCAAAAUC